rnacentral:ncRNA from 2 species
UAGAAUGGUGAUAUGCAAGGUGCUUGAAGUCGCCGUUUUUGUUUUAGCGACCUCAAGUUAAACGGGAAGUGCGUGCUGCCUUCGUUAGCGCAUUCGCACACUGCCCCCGCAACGGUGAUUGGAAUACGCUUAGUCGGUGUACCACUGGAGGCCAGUUUGGAUCUGGGAAGGUGACUAAGCGGAAUGCGGCGCAAGUCACAUUCGUCCAUCAGUCCGGAUACCGGCCUUCGCAUCGUUGGCCAC